UACGGAGGUGGCAAGCGUUACUCGGAUUCAUUGGGUGUAAAGGGCAGGUAGGCGGCCUAACAAGUGGGGGGUGAAAUCUUCCGACUCAAUCGGAAAACUGCCUUCCAAACUAUUGGGCUUGAGGCUGGAAGAGGAGAAUGGAAUUCCCGGUGUAAGGGUGAAAUCUGUAGAUAUCGGGAGGAACACCAGUGGCGAAAGCGAUUCUCUGGUUCAGCCCUGACGCUGAGCUGCGAAAGCUAGGGGAGCAAACAGG
rnacentral:rRNA from 1 species